rnacentral:lncRNA from 1 species
AAACGGGCGCCCAACUCGAGCAUUUCAGCAAACAAUUAAUAUUCGCAAACCAAGGAGUGAAAGACGGGGACGACCGAGCCCGAGCUCGGGCGGGGACUCACAGCGAUCAACAUGCUAAGCCCCGAGACCGCAGUACGUACACUAAUAAAGCAGGAAACUCGCACGAACUGGACAACGGCUGCCCGAUCCGGCGAGCCCGAAACAGAGCAUGGGCAUGAAGAAACAGGGCGGUCGGCCGAGGGUUCCUACCCGGCUCACGGCGUCGGACAGCGGACGAGCCCAAAGAUCGGGCUCUGUCCGUCCGCCGGGCGCCCUCGAGCCGGGAUCCUUAGGAUGCCGACCCCGAGACGAGACGAUCAGAGAGAGAGAGAGAGAAGAGAUACGGAACGCGACCCACCGUCCGUCGGUUCGGGAAAGUAGGGGGCACCGUUAGCGAGUUCCUGGCUGUACUCGCUCACUCCUGGUUUCUCACUUAGCUCUCUCUCACAGCUCAC